ensembl:lncRNA
CUCUGGAGGGGCAACUGCCAUCAGCUUAUUCUGCCGCAUAGCAAGAGAGCCGGUGGCAGUUAGAGCUGAACCUCUGGGUGAGAACCAGCUCCUUGUGUCACCUGAAGAUACACAAGAUGGAGUCGGACACCUCAAACACCCCAUUGGUAUCUCGGUCCCAAAGAAACACAGCAAGAUCAACAUUUUAAAGAGAAACCUUGCAAUUCUUCAAGCUUUCCUUCAGAAGGGACUUGGGUAUUAUACCUUUACAGCCUUUGAUUGUAACUACAAAACUAGGGAAGAAGCAGAAACUGAUACAUUAAAUACCCUAAGCAGAAGCUCUUACAUGCCAUUGCAUUCCACUAUGUAACCUGAAUGUCAGGCUGCAUCUAAAGAGGAGACGUGAUGCUGUGAAGCCCUGUCAUCCUAGGAGGUAGCUGCCCAGAAAUGGUGUGGUAACGUGCAGCCUCUCUUGACAGUCCCGACCCAGUGAUAACUGCAAUUUGGAGGAAACCCGCUGCCUCUCGCCAGCCGGGAGGAGGACAGAUGGGAAGAUGCAGCGCAUCCUCAGCUUCUGCUUUGGGUGGUCUGUAGGGAAACAGAAGUUUGAGAGGUCACUCACUAACGGGGAGAGGUCUUCCUCUGCAGACAGCACAGAGAGAGCACAGGAAGGCCUCUCAACCGCCCCUCUCUGUUUCCCACAAAAGGGAGAUCUUGCAAAUCCUCUGCCUGUCCUCCAGGAGGGAGAGCCUUCCAAGGCCCCCUCUCCUCCAAAGGAGGAGAGCCCAAGCAACCCCCUGCCCCCUGGUGAGAGGGGGAGCCCAGCCACCCCCUUUCCCUGCAGGAAGGGGCAGAAUCAGAGCUCUGUGGCUGGAGCAUUGCCGCCUUCAGGCAGCAAGAGUGCCGUGGGCUCACUUUGCACUGGGGACAGUGAUGACCUAGCUCAGCCACUGGAGAAGGGAAGCAUGUUUGAGGACAAUAAUAAUGCCUCUGCAGAGGAACUGAGGCCUGAUGCUGCCCAGGUGCCUCCUGAAGAUUCAGUCCCGAAUCAGCUCCUGUUGUGCAGAUGCAGCCAUGUCCCUCCUCACAGACUCUUCCUCAGUGGAGGUGUUUCCCAGGCAGUUAUCAGGAAAAGCAAAAGCAGCUCUUUCACUGCAAGGGAACCUGGUGCAUCUGGAUCCUCAUGUGUGAUCUCCUGUGAAGAAGCACCAGGUGACAUAAAUGAAACAUAUUGGCAAUGUUACCAAGCUAUGCUCCCAGUUCAUUCAUCUUCGGAAAGCGUCCGCAAGCAGGAGGACAAGAAGGUGCAGCUUGCAACCACACAGUCUUACUUCGAGAAGGGCGUUCCAGCCAGCAACACAGAAGGUGAGCUGCUGCGGGAAGGUGUGCAAGUGGGAAUGGAUGGAAGAAAAAAUGUCAGGACCAACAUGGAUGCUGAUGCGAUGCAGCUGAGUUAUGUCCCUGGCGUGUACGUGUGCCCCCUUCCCACAAAUGGUGAGGUGACUCGGUCAGAGAAUGCUGUCAGUCACCCCCUUCUCUCCUCCUCCUGUCUGACUGCUGCCAGACAAACUCCUGGCUCAGAAAGUGACUGUUACAAGUGUUUGAAGCCAAAACUGGAAACACCAGAGAGUUACAGGAGCACAGACAGAGGAUCUGUGGUCAACCCUUGCCUGGGGAGUAGAAGCUGGUGCAAGUGCUCCCAAGAAAUCCUGCUCCACCGUCUGGAAGAAGGUGCUAGUUACAAGGGGAGGAGAGGAACCCUUUCAAAAAGAAAUAUCCCAGACAUCCUCCAGGAUAUUUCACAAAAUCACCACUGCUAGAAAAAAAAACAGAUGAAAGCACAGGAUCUGUGUGAAGACAGAGCUCAAGACAGCACUGGGGGAAGCUGUCGACUAAGGACAAGAUGCACUGGCUUCGAAUCCCUGGUGAGAAUCUAUGUCAAAGUUUGCGUGCCUGAUGAAUAAAAG